rnacentral:rRNA from 1 species
ACCGGCAGCUCAAGUGGUGGCCAUUUUUAUUGGGCCUAAAGCGUUCGUAGCCGGUUUGAUAAGUCUCUGGUGAAAUCUCGCAGCUUAACUGUGGGACGUGCUGGAGAUACUAUUAGACUUAAGGUCGGGAGAGGUUAGGGGUACUCCCAGGGUAGGGGUGAAAUCCUAUAAUCCUGGGAGGACCACCUGUGGCGAAGGCGCCUAACUUUAUUGUACCUGACGUUUAUUAACGAAAGCUUUUUUUUUUACCCG